rnacentral:rRNA from 1 species
CAGUAGCCGCGGUAAUACAGAGGGUGCGAGCGUUAAUCGGAUUUACUGGGCGUAAAGCGUGCGUAGGCGGCUAAUUGAGUCGGAUGUGAAAUCCCCGAGCUUAACUUGGGAAUUGCAUUCGAUACUGGUUAGCUAGAGUGUGGGAGAGGAUGGUAGAAUUCCAGGUGUAGCGGUGAAAUGCGUAGAGAUUUGGAGGAAUACCGAUGGCGAAGGCAGCCAUCUGGCCUAACACUGACGCUGAGGUACGAAAGCAUGGGGAGCAAACAGGAUUAGAUACCCCUGUAGUCCCUGUCUCUUAUAC